GCAGAGGCGGAGAAGAUGGCGGCGGCAGCUGCACAGGGCGGGAGAAGCGGUGGUAUCGGAGGCUGUAUUGGGGCUGGCGGUGCUUCCAACUGUGGGACAGGCAGUGGCCGUAGCGGCUUGUUGGAUAAGUGGAAGAUAGAUGAUAAGCCUGUAAAAAUUGACAAGUGGGAUGGAUCAGCUGUGAAAAACUCUUUGGAUGAUUCUGCCAAAAAGGUACUUUCUUGAGGAGGGGUUGGUUAGUAUCUAUACAGCUGAUGGCCAUCUC
rnacentral:sRNA from 1 species